AGAAAUCAUACCUCAAGUGAGAGAAGAAGACCCACCUGACUGAAGCAUCUUACUAAGUGGAGGAAAAGAAACUAACCAGGAUUCCCUCACUAACUGCGAGUGAAGCGGGAUGAGCUCAAGGUUGAAAUCCCCCGCCCGGGGGAAUUGUAGUCUGUGGAAGCGAGCGCAGCUGGGGGGAAGGGCCGAGUCCGCUGGAACGCGGCGCCAGAGAGGGUGACAGCCCCGUGGGCCCUUUGUCUUUAGUGUACGCGCCCGCUCCCGAGAGUCGUGUUGUUUGGGAUUGCAGCACAAAGCGGGUGGUAAAUUCCAUCUAAGGCUAAAUAUUACCACGAGACCGAUAGCGAACAAGUACCGUGAGGGAAAGUUGAAAAGAACUUUGAAGAGAGAGUUCAAGAGUACGUGAAACCGUUUAUGGACAAACCUGCGAAACCCGAAUAAUUUAUUAAGGAGAUUCAAUGUCUCACCAUUUUUUGUUUAUCCAUAAUUUUUAUGACGUUUUCUGGCUGCGUAUUUGUUAUACUUCGGUGUACAUUACGUUAGUUUCAUUAAAUGCUUUAUUAUAAAUAAACAAUAAUGGGGGCAUGCACUUCUCCUUAAUUUUUUAAAAACAUCGUGACUCGUUCGAGAUUGAUUUAAGGAUCAUAAUGAUAGCCCGUAAUUAUUUUAAUAUUCUUGUAGUAUUAUAUAAUUCGGAUCAAUGAUACCUAAUCAAUGUUAUGGACGGUAUGUUAUGUGAUGUACUAUUGAUAUAUUUAUAAUCGUUCUAGCUUAAUACAAAUAUAUAUAAUUUUAUUAUAACAGUUUUGGAUGUUUCUAUGCCACUGUUAUUAUUAUAUUAUUGUUAGUAUUAAUGUCUUAUAGGAACAUAAUAGUUACAUCCGUUAACGAUGCCAAAAGCUUUGGGUAGUCUCAGGACCCGUCUUGAAACACGGACCAAGGAGUCUAGCAUGUAUGCAAGUCAUUAGGUUUUCAUAAAUCCUAAAGGCAUAAUGAAAGUAAAUGUUUAUUUUUUACAUAAACAUAGGAAAGAUGAGUACAUUUUCUCAAAAAGUUUGUAAAUAUGCUCCGCAUUUCCGGGACACUUGGUGUACCAUAAUUUUCGGAUUAUGGGAGCCGGGCGUACCAAGAGCAUACACGCUGGGACCCGAAAGAUGGUGAACUAUGCUUGGUCAGGAUGAAGUCAGGGGAAACCCUGAUGGAGGUCCGUAGCGAUUCUGACGUGCAAAUCGAUCGUGUGAACUGAGUAUAGGGGCGAAAGACUAAUCGAACCAUCUAGUAGCUGGUUCCUUCCGAAGUUUCCCUCAGGAUAGCUGGCAUAUGAAUGCAUAUAUGCUAUAUAUAUAUAUUUUAUAUAUAUAUAUAUAGUUUAUAGAAUCUCAUUCGGUAAAGCGAAUGAUUAGAGGCAUUGGGGUCGAAACGGCCUCAACCUAUUCUCAAACUAUAAACGGGUGAGAUCUUUAGCUUGCUUUAAUAUUUCAAUUUUAUGAAGCUAAAGUUUGGAUCUAUAUGUGCCAAGUGGGCCAUUUUUGGUAAGCAGAACUGGCGCUGUGGGAUGAACCAAACGUUGAGUUAAAGCGCCUAAAUUGACGCUCAUGAGAUACCAUGAAAGGCGUUGGUAACUUAAGACAGCAGGACGGUGGCCAUGGAAGUCGGAAUCCGCUAAGGAGUGUGUAACAACUCACCUGCCGAAGUUACUAGCCCUGAAAAUGGAUGGCGCUAUAGCGUCAUGCUUAUACUCAACCAUUGGGGCAAAGGUGAUAAUAUAAAUAUUUAUAUUCAUAUUAUUUAAAUGCUCCCAAUGAGUAGGAAGGCGCAAUGGUGUGCGCAGAAGGACUAAGUGUAAACUUGUCUGGAGCCUCCAUUGGUGCAGAUCUUGGUGGUAGUAGCAAAUACUCCAGUGAGGACCUGGAGGGCUGACGUGGAGAAGGGUUUCGUGUGAACAGCAGUUGUACACGAGUCAGUCGAUCCUAAGCCCUAGGAGAAAUCCGAUGUUGAUGUGAUGGUAAUUUGUAUUUAAUUAUUAAAAUAUUGUUUUUAUUUAUUCUCUCUCUCUUACUUUUUGUUUAUAUAAAUAAAUAAAUUAAUAAAUAAAUAUAUAUAGAGACAGAAAAAUAAAAAUUUAAUAAAGAAUUAACCAUCCAUUGGGCGAAAGGGAAUCCGGUUCCUAUUCCGGAACCCGGCAGCGGAACCGUUUUUAAGUCGGGCUCUCUUUUAGAGUGUUCGUCGGGGUGACCCAAAAUGACCUGGAGACGCCGUCGGGACAUCUGGGGAGAGUUUUCUUUUCUGUAUGAGCGUUCGAGUUCCCUGGAAUCCUCUAGCAGGGAGAUAGGGUUUGGAACGCGAAGAGCACCGCAGUUGCGGCGGUGUCCAGAUCGUCCCCUCGGACCUUGAAAAUCCAGGAGAGGGCCACGAGGAGAUGUCGCGCCGGUUCGUACCCAUAUCCGCAUCAGGUCUCCAAGGUGCAGAGCCUCUAGUCGGUAGAAUAAUGUAGGUAAGGGAA
rnacentral:rRNA from 1 species